UGGGGAAUCUUGCACAAUGGGGGCAACCCUGAUGCAGCGACGCCGCGUGAGCGAUGAAGCCCUUCGGGGCGUAAAGCUCUUUCGACCGGAACGAUAAUGACGGUACCGGGAGAAGAAGCUGCGGCUAACUACGUGCCAGCAGCCGCGGUAAUACGUAGGCAGCAAGCGUUGUUCGAAGUUACUGGGCGUAAAGAGUGCGUAGGCGGUUUUCUAAGUUCGGUGUGAAAUCUCCCGGCUUAACUGGGAGGGUGCGCCGAAGACUGGGAAGCUGGAGUGUGGGAAAGGCAGGCGGAAUUCCUGGUGUAGCGGUGAAAUGCGUAGAUAUCAGGAGGAACACCGGCGGUGUAGACGGCUUGCUAGACCAUAACUGACGCUGAGGCACGAAAGCGUGGGUAGCAAACA
rnacentral:rRNA from 1 species